AGACUAUGGUGAGGACAUUGUGUUAACAAAUCAUUGAACCUUUCCAAAUACCUAUACAAAGAUUCUCCCUCUUGCUGUGAAAAUGUACAGAUUUGCAUCCUAAU